rnacentral:RNase_P_RNA from 2 species
GAAGCUGACCAGACAGUCGCCGCUUCGUCGUCGUCCUUUCGGGGAGACGGGCGGAGGGGAGGAAAGUCCGGGCUCCAUAGGGCAGGGUGCCAGGUAACGCCUGGGGGGGAAACCCACGACCAGUGCAACAGAGAGCAAACCGCCGAUGGCCCACGUAAGUGGGAUCAGGUAAGGGUGAAAGGGUGCGGUAAGAGCGCACCGCGCGGCUGGUAACAGUCCGUGGCACGGUAAACUCCACCCGGAGCAAGGCCAAAUAGGGGUUCAUAAGGUACGGCCCGUACUGAACCCGGGUAGGCUGCUUGAGCCAGUGAGCGAUUGCUGGCCUAGAUGAAUGACUGUCCACGACAGAACCCGGCUUAUCGGUCAGUUUCAACU